AUUGAACGCUGGCGGCAGGCUUAACACAUGCAAGUCGAGCGGAGAUGAGGUGCUUGCACCUUAUCUUAGCGGCGGACGGGUGAGUAAUGCUUAGGAAUCUGCCUAUUAGUGGGGGACAACAUUCCGAAAGGAAUGCUAAUACCGCAUACGCCCUACGGGGGAAAGCAGGGGAUCUUCGGACCUUGCGCUAAUAGAUGAGCCUAAGUCGGAUUAGCUAGUUGGUGGGGUAAAGGCCGACCAAGGCGACGAUCUGUAGCGGGUCUGAGAGGAUGAGCCGCCACACUGGGACUGAGACACGGCCCAGACUCCUACGGGAGGCAGCAGUGGGGAAUAUUGGACAAUGGGCGGAAGCCUGAUCCAGCCAUGCCGCGUGUGUGAAGAAGGCCUUUUGGUUGUAAAGCACUUUAAGCGAGGAGGAGGCUACCUGGAUUAAUACUCUAGGAUAGUGGACGUUACUCGCAGAAUAAGCACCGGCUAACUCUGUGCCAGCCGCCGCCGUAAUAC
rnacentral:rRNA from 1 species